CAAGAACAGCAGCAGCAGUAAAGUGGA
rnacentral:misc_RNA from 1 species